rnacentral:lncRNA from 1 species
GUAGUUGGAUUACUCAUUCUCUCACGUAGGUUCCCACAGCAGGUGUCUCCCUCAACCCAACCUGGACGGGGGGCCACCUGGAUUGACAUUCGUCAUCUCUUCCACUGGACCGUGAGCUCCUUGAGGGCAGGUAAGAAAACUGAGGCUCAGAACGGGAAGUUCAUUGCUCAUCAUCAAACAUCCAGGAAAUGGUGGAGCCUGAAUGGGAACUCAGCUUCCAACAUGGCGUGGAUGUGGCCCAUCCCUUGGUGGCCUGGCUGGGUCUAUCUUAUGACAGUACGAGGUUGAAUGUUGGAGUGCCUUGCAGAAGAGAGAGAAAAUGUUGCUAAAACUUCAGGGGAAUGACUGGUCGAAAAUGUUUGACAU